UGGGGAAUUUUGGACAAUGGGCGCAAGCCUGAUCCAGCAAUGCCGCGUGCAGGAAGAAGGCCUUCGGGUUGUAAACCGCUUUUGUCAGGGAAGAAACGAGUUUCUCUAAUACAGAGACUUAAUGACGGUACCUGAAGAAUAAGCACCGGCUAACUACGUGCCAGCAGCCGCGGUAAUACGUAGGGUGCGAGCGUUAAUCGGAAUUACUGGGCGUAAAGCGUGCGCAGUCGGUUAUAUAAGACAGAUGUGAAAUCCCCGGGCUCAACCUGGGACCUGCAUUUGUGACUGUAUAGCUAGAGUACGGUAGAGAGGGAUGGAAUUCCGCGUGUAGCAGUGAAAUGCGUAGAUAUGCGGAGGAACACCGAUGGCGAAGGCAAUCCCCUGGACCUGUACUGACGCUCAUGCACGAAAGCGUGGGGAGCAAACA
rnacentral:rRNA from 1 species